UUAAUGAUACGGUUUCUCACACACGUUCUCUUCUUCUUCCUCACGUUCUCCCCCAAUCUCUCUGAAGCAAUUAUUAUCCUGCACCAAAUUUGGCAGUUUAUUUCAAAAAAUCGUGUGAUAUAGUGAUCAGUUAUUUUAAGAAGAAUCAUUUAUAUCUUCUUCAUAUAAAAGUUUCUGCGACGAGGCUCAUCCCGUUCUUCUGAAGAGAAAGACUCUAGGUUUUCUGCAGCAACAACAGGGAAUGGGAACCGAGAGUACACUAACUAUGUAGUUUUUACCGCUCCAUUCAUUCUCUUUUCUCCAUAAUUUUAUCAGUACGUGAUUUUCUUCUUCUUCUUCUGGAUUCAAUCCAUUACAAAAAAAAAGUGUGAGUAAAAUUGUGGAUUAUAAUCCGGCCCAGCCGAUGCAAAUUUCUCAUGAGUUAUCUACUAUAAUUGCGGCCAAAACCUUUGGUCAUAAACACGUCAAUCCUUUUACCGAUAAAUUCCUCGCCAAUCGCCACAUGUUUCAAUUUUAUGAUUUUAGGAUUUGAAGUUUUGUUUGGCCUUUUCAUUUGUUAAAGGCCAAUUGAUUAUUUGCGAAAUUGAAUUUGAUGAAAUCUUUUAUGGAAUUAUAUAGCGGAAACUUUAUGGAAAUUGGUUUAAAUAAAUGUUGCAACUAUUUUAUUGUUAAAAAUUUCGAAGUCUCUUUUAGCAUUUAUCUUGAAUGAGUUUUGCACGAAGGAGCAGUGUAUGUGUGCUUAUGUAUUGUUUUGAUUGAUUGGUAAAAGUUUGCUGCUUAAAUAUUGAUGGCAUUGCUUAUUGACUUUGUUGUGCGCGGAUUUAUUGAUGUUUUUGGUUCUCAAAUUAGAUCACGCAUCUAUGGUGAUAAAAUAAAAAUGUCUUUUUAGUUGCAAUCUAUUGUUGAAUGCUUGAAUAGUUGACUAGCAGGAGCCUUUGUUUAUGAGUAUUAGUAUGAGAAAGGCGGUAAUACUUAACAUAAGUAGUUGAAAAUUAAUGUGUACAAUGAUGAAGAACAAUAGCUCCAACAUUGUAACUUAGGACUGUAAUUUUGGUAACUGUCGCGCUCGCAAAUACUCUAUUCUUUGUGAUGCUAGCUUGAUGAAAUUAAGAUUAUGUAGCUGUAUUUUGCAGCCUUGUGUAUGACUCAGAAAAGGCGGCGUCAUUGGAGAUGGACAAAGUUCAUGAUUCUUCUAACUCAUUAUGUGUGUGUGUGUGUGUCUGUCUGUGUGUGUGUGUGUUCGUUUUUUGUCAGUUGUUUAGGAUAUACUGCCAUUAUAAGUUCUCUGAUAAACAUUUCAAUUUUGUUUUUGCUGGGGAUGUGAGGCGAAUAAGUAAUCUUGAAUCUCUUUUCUUUCAUGAUAAACCUAUUCCUGAGGAAAUAAUUGAGAAGCGUAUUGGGCUUGCCUUGGGUGAGAAAAAUGUUGGAGUAAAUCCUCUAUGCCUUGUCUGCAACUAAGUUCUUUUUUUUAUUUGUUAUUAUUUCUGUUGAUGAAUAGAGCAGCUACUGUUGCAAUGGGUGAAGGGAUGGCAAUUCGUGAAGGUCUCUUGGUGGUGAAGAAUAAAGGAUUCUAAGGCUUGGUGGUUGAGACUGACUGCAGGAGCUUAUUUUCAAAAUUCAAACUUCAACUUCUGGAUUUCUCACCCCUUGAAUUUUUGUUGGAAGAUAUUAGCUAGAGAGCUUGCGAUAGAAGUAGAUGUUCGUGGGAGUUAGGUUAGGCGGUCCUAUAUCUCUUUAGCAGAUCAGCUUACAAAGUUUGCUCUCUCUAGCUGUUCUGAUUUUUAUUUCUCUGGUGUCCUGCCAGAAUUUGUGAAUUGUUCCCAUUAGAAAUGAAUUUUUCAUUGAUCUCAAAAAAAAAAAAAAAAAAUACUAAUAAUCUCAAGGGUGGUUACUAAGGCAUCUUGGCUAUAGGAUUGUAUUCUUCUGCUUUAUGGAUUUUCCUUUUUCCGUGA